rnacentral:rRNA from 1 species
CCUACGGGGGGCAGCAGUGGGGGAUAUUGCACAAUGGGGGAAACCCUGAUGCAGCGACGCCGCGUGUGGGAAGACGGUCCUCUGGAUUGUAAACCACUGUCCCCAGGGACGAAGAUGACGGUACCUGUAUAAGCAGCCCCGGCUAACUCCGUGCCAGCAGCCGCGGUAAUACGGAGGGGGCGAGCGUUGUUCGGAGUGACUGGGCGUAAAGAGCACGUAGGCGGUGUUGUAAGUCAUUAGUCAAAGACUAGAGCUCAACUUUAGUAAGGCUAGUGAUACUAUAAUACUAGAGUAUCAGAGAGGAUUGCAGAAUUCCUGGUGUAGCGGUGAAAUGCGUAGAUAUCAGGAGGAAUACCGUUAGCGAAGGCGGCAAUCUGGCUGGAAACUGACGCUGAGGUGCGAAAGCGUGGGUAGCAAACAGGAUUAGAUACCCGGGUAGUC